rnacentral:rRNA from 1 species
AUACAGAGGGUGCAAGCGUUAAUCGGAUUUACUGGGCGUAAAGCGCGCGUAGGUGGCUAAUUAAGUCAAAUGUGAAAUCCCCGAGCUUAACUUGGGAAUUGCAUUCGAUACUGGUUAGCUAGAGUAUGGGAGAGGAUGGUAGAAUUCCAGGUGUAGCGGUGAAAUGCGUAGAGAUCUGGAGGAAUACCGAUGGCGAAGGCAGCCAUCUGGCCUAAUACUGACACUGAGGUGCGAAAGCAUGGGGAGCAAACAGGAUUAGAUACCCUGGUAGUCCAUGCCGUAAACGAUGUCUACUAGUCGUUGGGGCCCUUGAGGCUUUAGUGGCGCAGCUAACGCGAUAAGUAGACCGCCUGGGGAGUACGGUCGCAAGACUAAAACUCAAAUGAAUUGACGGGG